rnacentral:rRNA from 1 species
UACGAAGGGGGGCUAGCGUUGCUCGGAAUCACUGGGCGUAAAGGGCGCGUAGGCGGCCAUUCAAGUCAGAGGUGAAAGCCCAAGGCUCAACCUUGGAAUUGCCUUUGAUACUGUUUGGCUUGAGACCGGAAGAGGUUAGUGGAACUGCGAGUGUAGAGGUGAAAUUCGUAGAUAUUCGCAAGAACACCAGUGGCGAAGGCGGCUAACUGGUCCGGUUCUGACGCUGAGGCGCGAAAGCGUGGGGAGCAAACAGG